GGCCCUACGGGGCGCAGCAGGCGCGAAAACUUUACAAUGCUGGGAACAGCGAUAAGGGAACCUUGAGUGCCAGGUUACAAAUCUGGCUGUCGUGAUGCCUAAAAAGCAUUAUAUAGCAAGGGCCGGGCAAGACCGGUGCCAGCCGCCGCGGUAACACCGGCGGCUCGAGUGGUAACCGUUAUUAUUGGGUCUAAAGGGUCUGUAGCCGGCCGGAUAAGUCUCUUGGGAAAUCUGGCAGCUCAACUGUCAGGCUUUCAGGGGAUACUGUCUGGCUCGAGGCCGGGAGAGGUGAGAGGUACUUCAGGGGUAGGGGUGAAAUCUUGUAAUCCUUGAAGGACCACCAGUGGCGAAGGCGUCUCACCAGAACGGACCUGACGGCAAGGGACGAAAGCUAGGGGCACGAACCGGAUUAGAUACCCGGGUAGUCCUAGCCGUAAACGAUACUCGCUAGGUGUCGGCCACGGUGCGACCGUUGUCGGUGCCGUAGGGAAGCCGUGAAGCGAGCCACCUGGGAAGUACGGCCGCAAGGCUGAAACUUAAAGGAAUUGGCGGGGGAGCACCACAACGGGUGGAGCUUGCGGUUUAAUUGGAUUCAACGCCGGAAAUCUUA
rnacentral:rRNA from 1 species